UGUUGGAAACAUUCGAAACAACACAGCAAGUUAAAAUAAGGUUUAUCCGUAUCCAACUUGAAAAAGUGAGCACCGAUUCGGUGCUUUUAUU
rnacentral:sRNA from 18 species